rnacentral:rRNA from 1 species
GAUGAACGCUAGCUACAGGCUUAACACAUGCGAGUCGAGGGGAAACGGCAUUGAGUGCUUGCACUCUUUGGACGUCGACCGGCGCACGGGUGAGUAACGCGUAUCCAACCUUCCCAUUACUGUGGGAUAACCUGCCGAAAGGCAGACUAAUACCGCAUAGUCUUCGAUGACGGCAUCAGAUUUGAAGUAAAGAUUUAUCGGUAAUGGAUGGGGAUGCGUCUGAUUAGCUUGUUGGCGGGGUAACGGCCCACCAAGGCUACGAUCAGUAGGGGUUCUGAGAGGAAGGUCCCCCACAUUGGAACUGCGACACGGUCCAAACUCCUACGGGAGGCAGCAGUGAGGAAUAUUGGUCAAUGGACGGAAGUCUGAACCAGCCAAGUAGCGUGCAGGAUGACGGCCCUAUGGGUUGUAAACUGCUUUUGUAUGGGGAUAAAGUUAGGGACGUGUCCCUAUUUGCAGGUACCAUACGAAUAAGGACCGGCUAAUUCCGUG